rnacentral:rRNA from 1 species
UACAGAGGGUGCAAGCGUUAAUCGGAAUUACUGGGCGUAAAGGGUGCGUAGGUGGUUUAUUAAGUUAUAUGUGAAAACCCUGGGCUUAACCUAGGAAUUGCAUAUAAAACUAAUAAGCUAGAGUGCAGUAGAGGGAAGUGGAAUUUCCGGUGUAGCGGUGAAAUGCGUAGAUAUCGGAAGGAACAUCAGUGGCGAAGGCGACUACCUGGCCUGUUCUUGACGCUGAGGCGCGAAAGCUAGGGGAGCAAACGGG